rnacentral:rRNA from 1 species
CCCUUAGACACUCUAGGCGGCACGCGCGCUACAAUGGGUGGAAGAACGUGUUACUGCCUCCGAAAGGAGGGGUGAAUCACGAAUUCUUGCCCGUGAAUGGGAUAGUUUGUUGCAAUUUUCGGACUUGAACUAGGAAUCCCUUGUAAACAUGCUCAAGAAUAGCGUGUUGAAUACGUCCCUGCCGUUUGUACACACCGCCCGUCGUUUCUUCCGACUGAUGCUCAUUGUGAGUUGCAAGGACCCUUUAUUGGGAAAUUGCUGCAAAUGCUUUGUAUUGGAGGAAGAAAAAGUCGUAACA